rnacentral:rRNA from 1 species
AUUGAACGCUGGCGGCAUGCUUUACACAUGCAAGUCGAACGGUAACAGGCCGCAAGGUGCUGACGAGUGGCGAACGGGUGAGUAAUGCAUCGGAACGUGCCCAGUCGUGGGGGAUAACUACUCGAAAGAGUAGCUAAUACCGCAUACGAUCUAUGGAUGAAAGCGGGGGACCGUAAGGCAUCGCGCGAUUGGAGCGGCCGAUGUCGGAUUAGGUAGUUGGUGGGGUAAAGGCUCACCAAGCCAACGAUCUGUAGCUGGUCUGAGAGGACAACCAGCCACACUGGGACUGAGACACGGCCCAGACUCCUACGGGAGGCAGCAGUGGGGAAUUUUGGACAAUGGGCGCAAGCCUGAUCCAGCAAUGCCGCGUGCAGGAAGAAGGCCUUCGGGUUGUAAACUGCUUUUGUACGGAACGAAACGGCUCUGGUUAAUACCCGGGGCUAAUGACGGUACCGGAAGAAUAAGCACCGGCUAACUACGUG